GGGGAUAUGGCUCAACUGGUAGAGUACUUGCCUAGCAAAAGCAAGGCCCUGAGUUCAAUCCCCAGUAUCUCAG
rnacentral:tRNA from 1 species